UUUGUUUUAAAGAUUUAAUAACACAAACUCCAGUUGGUACAUUAUUUGAAACAGGAAAGUCAUUGUAUAGCUUCAUCUCCUACAUUUGUUACACAAUCUUUGUACCACUCCUACUAAGUUACUACAUAUAGAGAUUCAAGAAUAAGGCAUAUUAAUCAAGACAUUUAAAAGUUUAUGUAUCACAAACAUUACAUUAAUAAUGUUCAAUGAACUGAUGCAGCUAAAUUUAUGGUGAAGAGCUUAAUCAAUUUUGUUUAUUAUUAUUAAAAUUGCAUUGAAGCUUCAUGUUUUUUUUGUUUUUUUUUUCAUGUUAAUAUUUAGCAUGAAACAUCUAUCUAUUUUUCAGCAAUUAUCUUAGUUAACAAGUCAAAAGAAAACAAAGUUAUCAAUAAAUAGACCAAAUUAUGUCGCACUCCUCAUUUCAUUAGCAUUGAGAAAUCACAUAUAUAUUAUUAACAAUAAGUAACAUUUGAGUCCAAAUAUUGGGCAAGGAGUUUAAAUUAGUUAAAAAUCCUAGAAAUUAAAAAUAAAGACAGA